CUGAUACUACUACAACUGCAUUGACAUCUGGUAGUACUACUACAAUUGCGCUGACAUCUGGUACUACUACAAUUGCAUCGUCAUCUGGUACU
rnacentral:lncRNA from 1 species